rnacentral:rRNA from 1 species
AACAAAUAUUAAAGGCAACGCCUGCCCAGUGAACAAUUAAACGGCCGCGGUAUCCUAACCGUGCAAAGGUAGCAUAAUCACUUGUCUAUUAACUGUAGACCUGUAUGAAUGGCAAAAUGAGGGUUUAACUGUCUCUUAUAAUAAAUCUAUUAAACUGAUCUCCCAGUAAAAAAGCUGGGAUUCUACCAUAAGACCAGAAGACCCUGUGAAGCUUUAACUAAACUAUUAAAUCCAAUAAUAACUACUUUCGGUUGGGGCGACCUCGGAAAUAAAAAGAACUUCCAAAUACAAAUAACACCAAAGGCCCACAAGCCAAUUAAUGACCCAGUAAAACUGAUAAUUGAACAAAGUUACUCCAGGGAUAACAGCGCUAUCUUCUUCAAGAGCCCAUAUCAAAAAGAAGGUUUACGACCUCGAUGUUGGAUCAGGACAUCCUAAUGGUGCAACCGCUAUUAAGGGUUCGUUUGUUCAACGAUUAAUGUCCU